AAAAAGACAAACCAUAAGUUUCCGUACCAACGUUUAACUGUCCGUCUUAUAUGAAUUUUUUUAUAAUUAGUAUUUUCAUUAUUGUUAGAUGAAAAACAUGAUUAAUACUUUAUGCGUGACUUAUCUUUUUAAUUUUUUUAAUAUUUUUUUUAAAUAAGACGGACGGUCAAACGUUAGACACGGAAACCAGGGUUUGUCUUUUU
rnacentral:pre_miRNA from 1 species